rnacentral:rRNA from 1 species
GAUGAACGCUGGCGGCGUGCCUAACACAUGCAAGUCGAACGAAGGUAUAUAUAGGAAGUCUUCGGAUGGAAUAUGUAUAACUUAGUGGCGGACGGGUGAGUAACGCGUAAGUAAUCAACCUGUGACACACGGAUAACUGAUAGAAAUGUCAGCUAAUACGAGAUGAACUGUUUAAAUUGGGAAGUGGAAACAGCAAAGCGAAGGCGGUCACAGACGAGCUUGCGUCUGAUUAGCUAGUUGGUGGGGUAAGAGCCUACCAAGACGACGAUCAGUAGCCGGCCUGAGAGGGUGAACGGCCACAUUGGAACUGAGACACGGUCCAAACUCCUACGGGAGGCAGCAGUGGGGGAUAUUGCACAAUGGGGGGAACCCUGAUGCAGCAACGCCGCGUGAGUGAAGAAGGCCUUAGGGUCGUAAAGCUCUGUCGUAUGGGAAGAAACAAAUGACUGUACCAUACAAGAAAGCCCCGGCUAACUACGUGCCAGCAGCCGCGGUAAUACGUAGGGGGCAAGCGUUAUCCGGAAUUACUGGGCGUAAAGGGUGCGUAGGCGGCUAGUUAAGUCGAGGUUAAAAGGCAGUAGCUCAACUACUGUUGGGCCUUGAAACUAAUUAGCUUGAGUAUAGGAGAGGAAAGUGGAAUUCCCGGUGUAGCGGUGAAAUGCGUAGAUAUCGGGAGGAAUACCGGUGGCGAAGGCGACUUUCUGGACUAUAACUGACGCUGAGGCACGAAAGCGUGGGUAGCAAACAGG